CACGUAGGGUGCGAGCGUUGUCCGGAAUUAUUGGGCGUAAAGAGCUCGUAGGCGGUGUGUCGCGUCGGCCGUGAAAACCUGCAGCUUAACUGUGGGCUUGCGGUCGAUACGGGCAUCACUGGAGUUCGGCAGGGGAGACUGGAAUUCCUGGUGUAGCGGUGAAAUGCGCAGAUAUCAGGAGGAACACCGGUGGCGAAGGCGGGUCUCUGGGCCGAUACUGACGCUGAGGAGCGAAGGCGUGGGGAGCGAACAGG
rnacentral:rRNA from 1 species